rnacentral:lncRNA from 1 species
CUGCAACCUCUGCCUCCUGGGUUCAAGCGAUUCUUGUGCCUCAGUCUCCCCAGUAGCUGGGAUUACAAGGGCAUGCCAACACUCCCUGCUAAUUUUUUAUAUUUUUAGUAGAGACAGGGUUUCACCAUGUUGCCUAGGCUGGUCUUGAACUCCUGAGCUCAGGCAAUCCACCCACCUCGGCCUCCCAAAGUGCUGAGAUUACAGGUGUGAGCCACCGUGCCUGGUCUGACCUGUGCUUUUCACCUUCUCUGCACACCUGUGUGCCCUUUCUACAUGGGGCCUCAACUCCAGACCCCGCAAACAACAACUAACAUGAGGACAACUGCUGGGAAGAGGCUGAAGCAAUUGCAGCAUGAUCACACAAGUGAUAACCACCAAGCCAAAGGGACAGGAAGCUCUCGGCAUUGUUGGUGUUUUACUCAAGCCAUGGGACACAAGCUCUGCCAAAGAUAUGCAGGAGAAUUCAGCUCCAAGGGAAGGAGCAGAAACCCCAACCCUGAAGUCCCAGACACACAGGGCCUGCCUGAGGCUGAGGCUAGACCAGGACAACAAAGAAUUCUCCUGCUUCCCACCACAACGAUUGUUCAUAGCAAGUAAGAAGAAGCAGCCUACCACUGGGAGAUGGCAAGAGCACAGAGAGAGAGAAUGUCUGUGGUGCAAGAGUACCAAGGAGGCCAAAGCUGAGGAUGAAGAAGGAACAUUGAGGAAAACUCUCCAGGAC